CCUACGGGGGGCAGCAGUGAGGAAUAUUGGUCAAUGGACGAGAGUCUGAACCAGCCAAGUAGCGUGAAGGAUGACUGCCCUAUGGGUUGUAAACUUCUUUUAUAUGGGAAUAAAACGUUCCACGUGUGGGAUUUUGUAUGUACCAUAUGAAUAAGGAUCGGCUAACUACGUGCCAGCAGCCGCGGUAAUACGGAGGAUACGAGCGUUAUCCGGAUUUAUUGGGUUUAAAGGGAGCGUAGGUGGAUUGUUAAGUCAGUUGUGAAAGUUUGCGGCUCAACCGUAAAAUUGCAGUUGAAACUGGCAGUCUUGAGUACAGUAGAGGUGGGCGGAAUUCGUGGUGUAGCGGUGAAAUGCUUAGAUAUCACGAAGAACUCCGAUUGCGAAGGCAGUUCACUGGACUGCAACUGACACUGAGGCUCGAAAGUGUGGGUAUCAAACAGGAUUAGAUACCCCAGUAGUC
rnacentral:rRNA from 1 species